GGGUGUGAGGGUGAUCUGGCUGCAACAUCUUUCACCCCAUUGAUUGCCAGGGUUGACCUGGCUGGGUAGGCAGAUGCCCCCUUCCUCCCUCUCUGCUCCGUGUGUCCCUUCUGAAGCUGCAUUCUUGGUCAAAGAAGAGGACGACCUUCCCUGAAGACAGGAGGACCAUCUUCAGUCAAGGGUAAACGAGUAGCUGUGCUCCUGCUAGAACCGCCAAACAAGCUCUCAAGAUACGGGGAUCUCACUUGGCAACCUGGCUUCACAAGCAGCUGAAGACCAUGUGCAAUACUAGAUGCAUUUUUUU
rnacentral:snRNA from 1 species